rnacentral:rRNA from 1 species
UUGUUACGACUUCAGCCCAAUCACCAUCCAUACCUUCGGCGCCUUUUAAGGGGCGACUUCGGGUACAAACGGCUUUCAUGAUGUGACGGGCGGUGUGUACAAGGCCCGGGAACGUAUUCACGGCGCCGUAGCUGAUGCGCCAUUACUAGCGAUUCCGGCUUCAUGGAGGCGAAUUGCAGCCUCCAAUCCGAACUGGGCCCAGUUUUAAGUGAUUUCCUCCACCUCGCGGUAUCGGAUCGUUCUGUACUGGGCAUUGUAGUACGUGUGCAGCCCAGGCCGUAAGGGCCAUACUGACUUGACGUCGUCCCCACCUUCCUCCUCGUUUAAGCGAGGCAGUCUGAACAGAGUGCUGGAACCUCUCGGUUCCGUGGCAACAGUUCACAGGGGUUGCGCUCGUUGCGGGGCUUAACCCAACAUCUCACGACACGAGCUGACGACAGCCAUGCAGCACCUGUGCAAAUUGUGUCUU